AUGCACAAUCUAGUGACUUGGUGCUUUUGCUGUGGCAUUCCAAGGCUCAUUCUUGUGCAAGAUCAAACUCCUGUUUGCAGAAAGAAAAGCUUUACUUGUAGCUUCACCUUUUCGAAGGCAGGAAACACCU